rnacentral:rRNA from 1 species
UACGAAGGGGGCUAGCGUUGUUCGGAUUUACUGGGCGUAAAGCGCACGUAGGCGGACUAUUAAGUCAGGGGUGAAAUCCCGGGGCUCAACCCCGGAACUGCCUUUGAUACUGGUAGUCUUGAGUUCGAGAGAGGUGAGUGGAAUUCCGAGUGUAGAGGUGAAAUUCGUAGAUAUUCGCAAGAACACCAGUGGCGAAGGCGGCUCACUGGCUCGGUACUGACGCUGAGGUGCGAAAGCGUGGGAGCAACAGGG